AACGAACGCUGGCGGCAGGCUUAACACAUGCAAGUCGAACGCCCCGCAAGGGGAGUGGCAGACGGGUGAGUAACGCGUGGGAACAUACCCUUUUCUACGGAAUAGCCCUGGGAAACUGGAAUUAAUACCGUAUACGCCCUACGGGGGAAAGAUUUAUCGGGGAAGGAUUGGCCCGCGUUGGAUUAGCUAGUUGGUGGGGUAAAGGCCUACCAAGGCGACGAUCCAUAGCUGGUCUGAGAGGAUGAUCAGCCACAUUGGGGCUGAGACACGGCCCAAACUCCUACGGGAGGCAGCAGUGGGGAAUAUUGGACAAUGGGCGCAAGCCUGAUCCAGCCAUGCCGCGUGAGUGAUGAAGGCCUUAGGGUUGUAAAGCUCUUUCACCGAUGAAGAUAAUGACGGUAGUCGGAGAAGAAGCCCCGGCUAACUUCGUG
rnacentral:rRNA from 1 species